rnacentral:rRNA from 2 species
UCGCGACCCCAGGUCAGGU